AGUCAUAGUCAUUUGUCAUGUCUUUGUCAAAAGACAAAAAUAAAUUUUGAAUUUUUAGUAAUUUAAAAUUUUAAAUUACAUUUUUGCAUAUUGGAACUGAGUGCGAGUGGAACCAGUAAUUUAGUUUAAAUUCGACGAAAUGGAGCUAAGUGACGCUUCUAUAAAAAGAAACCAAAAUGUUUUAAUGUGUGACAAAGAUGGAGAUCCUCUUGUUAAUGCACAAGUAAAAUCAGAACUGGUAGAAUGCUUGUCUGAAAGUAGUUACACACAGGAUUCUUUAUCAAACUCAUAUUGUUCGGACGAUAUUAAAAUAGAAGAACAUGUAUUACAAUAUGAAGUAGAUAGCCCAUUCCCGAUCAUCAAGCAAGAAGUUAAGACAGAAAUCAAAAAAGAACUGGAUGAACAAGAUUUAGGAGUGAAUCAUGGUUGUGAAACUCAAUAUACGAAAGAAUUAGACUCAGAAGAAGAUACAAAAUUACAGAUAGAAGCUUCCACUGAAAUACACCAUGAAAAACAUUGUAGAAGUAUGAAAACAUCAAAAUUACGAUCCAACAAUGGCAAACAAAGGUUACGUCAGAACGUGACUAAAAUGAAAUCCAAAAGAUCGUUGGUAACGCACACUGGAGAAAAGCGUUACCAGUGUGAAAUUUGUUUAAAACAAUUUAGCGAAGCAGGAACUUUGAAAAGGCAUUUGAGAAUACACACUGGAAAGAAGCCAAACAAGUGUGAAAUUUGUUUCAAGCAAUUUAAGCAAAAUGGAUAUUUGAAAAGGCAUUUAAUGACGCACACUGGAGAAAAGCCUUACAAGUGUAAAAUUUGUUUUAAGCAAUUUAGUGAAGCAGGAACUUUGAAAAUCCAUUUGAGAAUACACACUGGAGAGAUGCCUUACAAAUGUCAAAUUUGUUCCAAGCAAUUUAGUCAAUAUGGUCAUUUGAACAGGCAUUUAAGGAUACAUAAUGGAGAGAUGCCAUACAAGUGUGAAAUUUGUUCUAAGCAAUUUAGAGAAGAAGGAAAUUUGAAAAGACAUUUGAGAAUACACACUGGAGAGAUGCCUUACAAGUGUGAAAUUUGUUUUAAGCAAUUUAGACACGUUGGAAGUUUGAAAACGCAUUUAAGAGUACACACUGGAGAGAUGCCUUACAAGUGUGAAAUUUGUUCCAAGCAAUUUAGACAAGUUGGUUCUUUGAAAACACAUUUAAAGGUACACACUGCUACUGCACUAAGUACACACUAAGCAAUUUAGUGAAGCAGGAACUUUGAAAAGACAUUUGAGAAUACAUAUUGUGAGAGAUCAGUGGCGGCUCGUGACAAUUUCAGUUGGUGGGGCCUGGGCCGCAUAUAAAUUUUGACGAAAUUACAAAAGAAAAAUGAAGAAUGAAAAUCAUGGCUCAAAAAAAUACAUACAGGGUUACGUCAGAAAUCGAUUAAAAUGAAAUCCAAAAGAUCGUUGGUAACGCACACUGGAGAAAAGCGUUACCUGUGUGAAAUUUGUUUAAAACAGUUUAGUAGAGCAGGUAAUUUGGAAACACAUUUGAGAGUGCACACUGGAGAGUCGCCUUAUAAAUGUGAAAUUUGUUUUAAACAAUUUACUCAUGCAGUGAAUUUAAAAACCCAUUUUAGGUUGCAUACAGGAGAAAAGCCUUACAAGUGCGAAACUUGUUCUAAGCAAUUCAAUGAAGCAGG